rnacentral:rRNA from 1 species
UCCAGACUCCUACGGGAGGCAGCAGUGGGGGAUAUUGCACAAUGGGGGGAACCCUGAUGCAGCGACGCCGCGUGGGUGAAGGAGCGUUUCGGCGCGUAAAGCCCUAUCGGCAGGGAAGAAGGAGGACGGUACCUGACUAAGAAGCCCCGGCCAACUACGUGCCAGCAGCCGCGGUAAUACGUAGGGGGCAAGCGUUAUCCGGAUUUACUGGGUGUAAAGGGGGCGCAGACGGCAGCGCAAGCCAGGAGUGAAAGCCCGGGGCCCAACCCCGGGACUGCUCUUGGAACUGCGCGGCUGGAGUGCAGGAGGGGCAGGCGGAAUUCCUGGUGUAGCGGUGAAAUGCGUAGAUAUCAGGAGGAACACCGGUGGCGAAGGCGGCCUGCUGGACUGCGACUGACGUUGAGGCCCGAAAGCGUGGGGAGCAAACAGGAUUAGAUACCCGAGUA